GACGAACGCUGGCGGCGUGCUUAACACAUGCAAGUCGAACGGAAAGGCCCUGCUUUUGUGGGGUGCUCGAGUGGCGAACGGGUGAGUAACACGUGAGUAACCUGCCCUUGACUUUGGGAUAACUUCAGGAAACUGGGGCUAAUACCGGAUAGGAGCUCCUGCUGCAUGGUGUGGGUUGGAAAGUUUCGGCGUUUGGGGAUGGACUCGCGGCUUAUCAGCUUGUUGGUGGGGUAGUGGCUUACCAAGGCAUUGACGGGUAGCCGGCCUGAGAGGGUGACCGGCCACAUUGGGCCUAAGGUACGGCCCAGACUCCUACGGGAGGCAGCAGUGGGAAAUAUUGCACAAUGGGCGGAAGCCUGAUGCAGCAACGCCGCGUGCGUGAUGACGGCCUUCGGGUUGUGAACCGCUUUCGCCUGUGACGAAGCGUGAGUGACGGUAAUGAGUAAAGAAGCACCGGCUAACUACGUG
rnacentral:rRNA from 1 species